rnacentral:rRNA from 1 species
AGCAGCCGCGGUAAUUCCAGCUCCAAUGGCGUAUAUUAAAGUUGUUGCAGUUAAAAAGCUCGUAGUUGAAUUUCGGGAUCAGUUGAUCGGUCGUGCCUCGGUACGUACUGGUCAAAUUGAUUCCUACCUUCUGACGAACCACGAUGUCAUUAAUUUGAUGUCGCGGGAAAUCAGGACUGUUACUUUGAAAAAAUUGAGUGUUUAAAGCAGGCUCGCGCUUGAAUACAUUAGCAUGGAAUAAUGAAAUAGGACGUUUGAUUCUAUUUUGUUGGUUUCUAGGAUCGACGUAAUGAUUAAUAGGGAUAGUUGGGGGCAUUAGUAUUCAAUUGUCAGAGGUGAAAUUCUUGGAUUUAUUGAAGACUAACUACUGCGAAAGCAUUUGCCAAGGAUGUUUUCAUUAAUCAAGAACGAAAGUUAGGGAUCGAAGACGAUCAGAUACCGUCGUAGUCUUAACCAUAAACUAUGCCGACUAGGGAUUGGAUGAUUGUUAAUUUUUUUAAUGUACUCAUUCGGCGUACCC